rnacentral:rRNA from 1 species
CAGGUGGAUAACCGGAAGAAUUUCCGACUAAUACAGCAUAACACUCCUGAGGGACAUCCUUCGGGAGUCAAAGGAGGCGACUCCGGUGACGGAUGGGCAUGCGGCGCAUUAGGUAGUUGGUAGGGUAACGGCCUACCAAGCCGACGAUGCGUAGGGGUUCUGAGAGGAAGGUCCCCCACAUUGGAACUGAGACACGGUCCAAACUCCUACGGGAGGCAGCAGUGAGGAAUAUUGGUCAAUGGCCGGAAGGCUGAACCAGCCAAGUCGCGUGAGGGAAUAAGGCCCUAUGGGUCGUAAACCUCUUUUGUCAGGGAGCAAAGGCGUCCACGAGUGGACGAAAGGAGAGUACCUGAAGAAAAAGCAUCGGCUAACUCCGUGCCAGCAGCCGCGGUAAUACGGAGGAUGCGAGCGUUAUCCGGAUUUAUUGGGUUUAAAGGGUGCGUAGGCGGAGUGUCAAGUCAGCGGUAAAAUUUCGGGGCUCAACCCCGUCGUGCCGUUGAAACCGACGCCCUUGAGUGAGUGAGAAGUAAGCGGAAUGCGUGGUGUAGCGGUGAAAUGCAUAGAUAUCACGCAGAACGCCGAUUGCGAAGGCAGCUUACCGGCGCUCAACUGACGCUGAGGCACGAAAGUGCAGGUAUCGAACAGGAUUAGAUACCCUGGUAGUCCGCACAGUAAACGAUGAAUACUAGAUGUCCGGGGCGAAUGAGCUUUGGGUGUCACAG